rnacentral:rRNA from 1 species
GAGAUUAGCUUGCUUAAUCUGUCAGCUAAGUGGCGCACGGGUGAGUAAUGUAUAGAUAACCUGCCCUUAAGAAAGGAAUAACAGUUGGAAACGACUGCUAAUGCCCUAUAUGCCUUUAAUACAUAAGUAUGCAAGGGAAACGCUUUAGUGCUUAAGGAUGGGUCUGUAUGGUAUCAGCUUGUUGGUGAGGUAAUGGCUCACCAAGGCUAUGACGCCUAACUGGUUUGAGAGGAUGAUCAGUCACACUGGAACUGAGACACGGUCCAGACUCCUACGGGAGGCAGCAGUGGGGAAUAUUGCACAAUGGACGAAAGUCUGAUGCAGCAACGCCGCGUGGAGGAUGACACAUUUCGGUGCGUAAACUCCUUUUAUAUAGGAAGAUAAUGACGGUACUAUAUGAAUAAGCACCGGCUAACUCCGUGCCAGCAGCCGCGGUAAUACGGAGGGUGCAAGCGUUACUCGGAAUCACUGGGCGUAAAGAGCGUGUAGGCGGGUAUAUAAGUCAGAAGUGAAAUCCUAUAGCUUAACUAUAGAACUGCUUUUGAAACUGUAUACCUAGAAUGUGGGG